rnacentral:tRNA from 1 species
GUCCCGGUGGCCGAGUGGUUAAGGCGACUCCCUGCUAAGGAGUUGGGUUCCGCCCGCGCAGGUUCGAAUCCUGUCCGUGACG